ensembl:lncRNA
GCUGUGCUCUGCUGAGUACAGAACCGAACCACAGACCGCGGCGUGCGUGGGGCCUGCGCGCGUCGCGCCCGAGCCAGCGCUGCGGGCCGCUCGGCCCGGGGCGGGGUCGGGGAGCGGGGCCUCGACCGGAGCUGCAGCCCGGGACGCGGAGGGAGGCUCCCCGGAGCCCCAGCUGCGCCCGCCUAAGCCGCCGCGGGCUCCCUCGGCCACGGACUUUGCACGGAAGCCCCUGGAAGGCCCAGCUCUUCAGCCAGACCGGAACCGCGACCCAGCAGAGCCUCGGCGGUGCCGGCCGGAACCUCCUCCCGGGCUUCCUCAGGCGGAGACUUUGCCUCACUUUGAAGGCUCGGACAGAGGUGGUUUGGGUCACGAUGAUUUUUCCGGGUCCGCGGGGCCCUGCCCAGCGGCUGGCGAAGUGCUCGGCCGGCGGCGGUCGUGAAGCCGCCUGGAGAGUUGACGGGAGGGAUUGGGAGCCGCAGCCGAGUCUGGGGCCCGAGGGGCCCUGCCCAGGGUGCGGAGCGGGGGCCACAAGGCGUGGGCCUUUCCCGGCCUCCCCCAGCCGCUGCGCACCAGGGUCUCCGAGAGGCAGUCUAGAAACUCGUCCUGGCUGGGACCCGCAGCCCGGCACACGCCUACAUUCACUGCUGAGCAAACCCCUGGCAGAUCCAGGCCUGGGCACUUGAAAGGAAGCCGCCAGAAGCUCACUGACCGAGGACCAUUUCUCUCAGCUGAGAGGUUGGGACUGAGGCUGUGUGUCGGUGACGAGCCCAAAGCCCCCGAGUGUGAUGUUGGGGACGGCUCCGCCCAGCAGCACCUGUGGACCGGGAGAAAGCCGGAGCACCUGCCUGUGAGCUUUCCUGCCUCUACCUAGGAAGCAAGCGUCCUCUACAGGAGCCCCAAAGGGACAGAGUCUUGGGGAGACAGCCCUGGCCUCAGACAGCCAACUUGGAGUCAAGACAAACAGUCUUACCAUCCAGCCAGAGCACUGCCACUCCUCUGACUGCACAUGGAUGCUCUCCCAGCCCAGACACACUCCCUGUCACUGCUGGUGCUGUGUGUGCAGAUGGCUGGCUCCCUGCGGCCCAGGACCACAGCCCACUGUCUCCUCCCCACAGCACCAGAAGUAGGAAAGUGCACAGGAAAGACGCGGUAGCCAGAAGCACAAACUCUGCAUCCGAUUUGAUCAUAAACCAGCACCGGUGGAGAAUUCGGGUGAAUUGUGGUGCAUCUGUAAGGCAGAAUGCUAAAGCAACUCCUAAAUGGGUAUUGUGAACUCCUGUGGAUUGCCAUGGGAAAAUGAUAUCUUUUCUGAGUGGGAGAAGCAAGGUAUACAACAAAACCGUAUGGACACAAUACUAUUUACAUACACACAUGCACUGUUCAAGGAAAAACUUUUGGAGGGAGAUCUUCCAAAAGAUUGACUCUGCUUAUUUUUAGAAAAUGAGAUAAGUACUACACACUUGUUGAAUGGGGGGGGGAUGCUCCAAUAGAUG